AAUCAACGCUGGCGGCGUGCCUAACACAUGCAAGUCGAACGCGAAAGCCCCUUCGGGGGCAAGUAGAGUGGCGUCCGGGUGAGUAACACGUGGGUAAUCUACCUCCGGGUGGGGAAUAACUCGCCGAAAGGCGGGCUAAUACCGCAUAAUGCAGCGGCACCGAAUGGUGAUUAGUUGUUAAAGCGGGGGACCUUAGGGCCUCGCGUCUGGAGAGGAGCCUGCGGCAGAUUAGCUUGUUGGUAGGGAAUGGCCUACCAAGGCUGCGAUCUGUAGCUGGUCUGAGAGGACGGCCAGCCACACUGGCACUGACACACGGGCCAGACUCCUACGGGAGGCAGCAGUGGGGAAUUUUGGGCAAUGGGCGAAAGCCUGACCCAGCAACGCCGCGUGAAGGAGGAAAU
rnacentral:rRNA from 1 species